AAUAUACAGUAACAGACAUGUGGACUGUAGAAUAUACAGUAACAGACAUGUGGACUGUAGAAUAUACAGAAACAGUCAUGUGGACUGUAGAAUAUACAGUAACAGACAUGUGGACUGUAGAAUAUCCACUUUUUUAAACUUCUUAGGGCUAGGCCCCUUUUUUCUCCACUUCCUGUCUGAAUGACAUUCCCAAAGUAAACUGCCUGUAGCUCAGGCCCAGAAGCCAGGAUAUGCAUAUAAUUGGUACCAUUAGAAAGUAAACACUUUGACAUUUGUAGAAAUAUUAAAAUAAGGUAGGAGAAUAUAACAUAUGGUAGGAGAAAAUCCAAAUCCUUUGAGAGACCUCUUAGAAUUGCAAUAGAAAGGUCAUAUUGAAAAUGAGCUCCCUGGAUGCAAUGUCUAUGGCUUCCACGGGGUGUCAGCAGUCUGUGUUCAAGGUUUCAGGCUCGUAACUUCAAAAACGAAGAAGAAAUAUCAGUUUUAGUAGAAGGACACAGUCUUGGAAAUUCAUGUUUGCUCGCGCCGUGAAGACGUUACGCACCUGUUAAAAUCGGUUUCCUAUUGAACAUACUUCUUUCCGUAAUAAAUAUUAUAAUUUGAUGACAUUUUAGUGUAUCUGAGGAGUAAAUAGAAAUGUAUUUUGACUUGUUGAAACAAAGUUUAGGGGUUAGAUUUUCAGAUUCCUUUCUCUGCAAGUUAAACGAGUGGAUGACUCAUCGAUGGCGCCAACUAAACAGACUUUUUGGGAUUUAAAGAUGGAUUUUAUCAAACAAAACGGCACUACAUGUUAUAGCUGGGACCCUUUGGAUGACAAAUCAGAGGAAGAUUUUCAAAAAGUAAGUUAAUAUUUUAUCGUUGUAUGUGAAUGUAUUAAACCUGUGCCGGUGGAAAAAUAUUUUGAUGUGGGGCGCCAUCCUCAAACAAUCGCAUGGUAUGUUUUCACUGUAAUAGCUACUGUAAAUCAGACAGUGCAGUUAGAUUAACAAGAAUUUAAGCUUUCAGCCGAUGUAAGACACUUGUAUGUACAUAAAUGUUUAAAAUCCAUAAUAUUUCUUUGAAUUGCACGCUCUCCAGUUUCACCCGAAGUUGUCCUGCUAGUGGGACACCAAUCCUUAUUAACUAAACUCAGACAUGUUGAAUAUUACUGACUAAGCAGGAAGCUUGGAAUGGCUGUGAACGAAGAGGUUGUGAGUUCAAAUCCCAGUUGAGGACAUGUUGAAUAUUACUGACUAAGCAGGAAGAUUGGAAUGGCUGUGAACCAAGAGGUUGUGAGUUCAAAUCCCAGUUGAGGACAUGUUGAAUAUUAAUGACUAAGCAGGAAGAUUGGAAUGGCUGUGAACCAAGAGGUUGUGAGUUCAAAUCCCAGUUGAGGACAUGUUGAAUAUUACUGACUAAGCAGGAAGAUUGGAAUGGCUGUGAACCAAGAGGUUGUGAGUUCAUAUCCCAGUUGAGGACAUGUUGAAUAUUAAUGACUAAGCAGGAAGAUUGGAAUGGCUGAGAACCAAGAGGUUGUGAGUUCAUAUCCCAGUUGAGGACAUGUUGAAUAUUAAUGACUAAGCAGGAAGAUUGGAAUGGCUGUGAACCAAGAGCUUGUGAGUUCAAAUCCCAGUUGAGGACAUGUUGAAUAUUAAUGACUAAGCAGGAAGAUUGGAAUGGCUGUGAACCAAGAGGUUGUGAGUUCAAAUCCCAGUUGAGGACAUGUUGAAUAUUAAUGACUGUAUGCAGAAACAUACACAAUGUAGCCAUGUGGCAAAAUGCAUCACGUGUUUAAGUUGAAAACACUGUGUGUUCAUCAUUACAACUCACCUUUGUUUUUGCAGGGCUUGUGAAUCUCUCCUAGAAAAAAAUGUAAUCCACAUGUGAAAGGUUUUUGUGAAAAUCCACAUGAAACUAAUAUCAUCCUGUGAAGUAUUUCCCAAAAACGUGUGAUUUUCCUGUAAGGAUGUUCGUUGAAGCUGCUACACUCUACAGAAACAGGAGCUCCUGCCCUGUGAGCCGUUCUUCCUCGGACAAGGCUACUUAUGUACAGUCGCAGGUAAAGUGAGACGUAAUACACACAUGGCACCGACCCAGAGUCGGCUAAGAAACAGCUGAAAAUGUACAGCACACAGACAGGUCAUUCCAGGUAAGAGUCAGUAAAGGAACUGAGAACCAGGGAAGUAUCCCAAAUAGCACCCUGUUCCCUAUAAGGUGCACUACUCUGGGCCCUGGUCAAAAGUAAUGCCCUACUUAGGAAACCGGGUGCCAUUUGGUACGCAGAUUAGGGAGAAAGUUCACUAGUUCCUGCAGUGAAAUGAACAAAUCGCCCUCUAGUGGCGUCAUGGGUGAAAUGUUAUCAAUAUUUUUCAUAAUUGCAUAAUUAAUAAACAUUUUAAACAUUUAAAAAAAUUACACCGAUGAAUCCGAUGUUUCUAUGUCAAACGGUUUUGUUAUAGUUCAGUCUUCUGUGAUGUACCUAAAGUGUAAUACUGGAAUGCAAACUCAACAUUGAAUACAUUUUCAACUCUGUAUCUGACAUAACUUCUUCUAUAAGCCCAUAACCACGUGUGUGAGGUGCAUUCUUUUGUUUCAAAGUAGAUUUCUUUUUUAAGACUACCCAGAAACACUGAUCUAGAAGGUUAAAAGGAACACACCAUUGAGUAGAAUAUGUACAAACAAACAAAAGAGAGAGGUUUGUUGACGAAAAGUUCAUAUGUAAACACACCAUUCAUCCUCCUCGUCCCCAACAGGUGGGCGCUACACAUUUGUCUGUGUACCAUUUGUGUCAUUGGUACUGUACUGUGGAAGAGGUGAGUUUGCUCCAGUUGAAAGGAGCUUUUGAGAACGAAUAGGUUAUUGUACUCAAAGGGCACUUUCAUUUGCGGUAGUAAUAACCCUAUCCAUUAGUCUCAAAACAGCCCUCUUCAGAACAGCCCUGGUCCUAACGUUCAUAUGCAGCGGUCUAGUUCUCUCUCACCGGUAGCAAAUGAGCCAUAUCAGACAUGCUGGGCAGAUAGGUCAUUAGGGGCCGACGUUUUUUUCUCCCUCUCUCUCAUUCAUACUCUCCCUCCUCCUUUCUCACUCCCUCCUUCCCAUGACGAGGGGUCCCCCAC
ensembl:lncRNA